AAUCAACGCUGGCGGCGUGCCUAACACAUGCAAGUCGAACGCGAAAGCCCCGCAAGGGGUAAGUAGAGUGGCAAACGGGUGAGUAACACGUGGGUGACCUGCCUUCGAGUGGGGGAUAACGUCCCGAAAGGGACGCUAAUACCGCAUGACAUCCUGCCUUUGGAAAGGCGGAGAUCAAAGCCUGGGAUCGCAAGACCUGGCGCUUGAAGAGGGGCCCGCGCCUGAUUAGCUAGUUGGUGGGGUAACGGCCUACCAAGGCGACGAUCAGUAUCCGGCCUGAGAGGGCGGACGGACACACUGGGACUGAGACACGGCCCAGACUCCUACGGGAGGCAGCAGUGGGGAAUUGUUCGCAAUGGGCGCAAGCCUGACGACGCAACGCCGCGUGGAGGACGAAGAUCUUCGGGUCGUAAACUCCUGUCGAGCGGGAAGAACGCUUCCCGGGUGAAUAAUCCGGGGAAUUGACGGUACCGCUAAAGGAAGCCCCGGCUAACUCCGUGCCAGCAGCCGCGGUAAUACGGGGGGGGCAAGCGUUGUUCGGAAUUACUGGGCGUAAAGGGCCAGUAGGCGGCCAACUAAGUCGGAUGUGAAAUCCCCA
rnacentral:rRNA from 1 species